rnacentral:rRNA from 1 species
UACGGAGGGGGCUAGCGUUGUUCGGAAUUACUGGGCGUAAAGCGCACGUAGGCGGCUUUGUAAGUUAGAGGUGAAAGCCCGGGGCUCAACUCCGGAAUUGCCUUUAAGACUGCAUCGCUAGAAUUGUGGAGAGGUAAGUGGAAUUCCGAGUGUAGAGGUGAAAUUCGUAGAUAUUCGGAAGAACACCAGUGGCGAAGGCGGCUCUUUGGUCUGUAACUGACGCUGAGGCGCGAAAGCGUGGGGAGCAAACAGG